rnacentral:rRNA from 9 species
UAAAAACGACUCUCGGCAACGGAUAUCUCGGCUCUCGCAUCGAUGAAGAACGUAGCGAAAUGCGAUACUUGGUGUGAAUUGCAGAAUCCCGCGAACCAUCGAGUCUUUGAACGCAAGUUGCGCCCGAAGCCAUUAGGUCGAGGGCACGUCUGCCUGGGCGUCUCAC